rnacentral:piRNA from 1 species
AGGAGAUGAAGUGUGUUCUUCACUGGUUU